GGAGGGGGGGGGGGCCUACCAUGCAAGUCGAACGGGGUAUAUAAGCGGAAGUUUACGGAUGGAAGGUUAUAUACUUAGAGGCGGACGGGUGAGUAACGCGUGGGCAACCUGCCCCUUGCCGGGGGAUACCGCCUGGAAACAGGCGCUAAUACCGCAUAAGCGCAUACAGCCGCAUGGGCGUAUGCGGGAAGCUCCGGCGGCACGGGAUGGGCCCGCGCCCGAUUAGCCAGUUGGCGGGGUAACGGCCCACCAAAGCGACGAUCGGUAGCCGGCCUGAGAGGGCGGACGGCCACAUUGGGACUGAGACACGGCCCAAACUCCUACGGGAGGCAGCAGUGGGGAAUAUUGCACAAUGGGGGAAACCCUGAUGCAGCAACGCCGCGUGGGUGAAGGAGCGUUUCGGCGCGUAAAGCCCUGUCAGCGGGGAAGAAGAAAGACGGUACCCGACCAAGAAGCCCCGGCUAACUACGUGCCAGCAGCCGCGGUAAUACGUAGGGGGCGAGCGUUAUCCGGAAUUACUGGGUGUAAAGGGAGCGUAGACGGCGAGGUAAGCCUGAAGUGGAAGCCCGCGGCCCAACCGCGGAACUGCUUUGGGAACUGUUUUGCUGGAGUAUGGGAGGGGUAAGCGGAAUUCCUGGUGUAGCGGUGAAAUGCGUAAAUAUCAGGAGGAACACCGGUGGCGAAGGCGGCUUACUGGACCAUAACUGACGUUGAGGCUCGAAAGCGUGGGGAGCGAACAGGAUUAAAUAC
rnacentral:rRNA from 1 species